UGAAGCAAUAGAGAUGGUUCUCCCCAGCAC
rnacentral:piRNA from 1 species